GACGUAGGGCGCGAGCGUUGUCCGGAUUUAUUGGGCGUAAAGAGCUCGUAGGCGGUCUGUCGCGUCGGCUGUGAAAACUCGGGGCUCAACCUCGGGCCUGCAGUCGAUACGGGCAAACUGGAGUGUUGCAGGGGAGACUGGAAUUCCUGGUGUAGCGGUGAAAUGCGCAGAUAUCAGGAGGAACACCGGUGGCGAAGGCGGGUCUCUGGGCAACAACUGACGCUGAGGAGCGAAAGCGUGGGGAGCGAACAGG
rnacentral:rRNA from 1 species